rnacentral:tRNA from 1 species
AAGUAUGAAGCAAUUAUGCAAUUAGUUUCGACCUAAUUUACAGGUAUUAAUUUACCCUUACUUU